rnacentral:tRNA from 1 species
GUCUGAGUGGCUCAGUUGGCUAAGCAUCUGACUUCGGCUCAGGUCAUGAUCUUGCAAUUCACGAGUUCAAGUCCCGUGUCGGGCU